rnacentral:rRNA from 1 species
GACGAACGCUGGCGGCGUGCUUAACACAUGCAAGUCGAACGGUGAAGGAGAGCUUGCUCUCCGGAUCAGUGGCGAACGGGUGAGUAACACGUGGGCAACCUGCCCCAGACUUCGGGAUAACGCUUCGAAAGAGGUGCUAAUACCGGAUACGAACUCCUUGGGCAUCCUUGGAGUUGGAAAGUUUUUCGGUCUGGGAUGGGCCCGCGGCCUAUCAGCUUGUUGGUGAGGUAACGGCUCACCAAGGCGACGACGGGUAGCCGGCCUGAGAGGGCGACCGGCCACACUGGGACUGAGACACGGCCCAGACUCCUACGGGAGGCAGCAGUGGGGAAUAUUGGACAAUGGGCGCAAGCCUGAUCCAGCCAUGCCGCGUGAGUGAUGAAGGCCCUAGGGUUGUAAAGCUCUUUCACCGGUGAGGAUAAUGACGGUAACCGGAGAAGAAGCCCCGGCUAACUUCGUGCCAGCAGCCGCCGUAAAAC